rnacentral:rRNA from 1 species
UGGGGAAUAUUGGACAAUGGGGGCAACCCUGAUCCAGCAAUGCCGCGUGUGUGAAGAAGGUCUUCGGAUUGUAAAGCACUUUCGACGGGGACGAUGAUGACGGUACCCGUAGAAGAAGCCCCGGCUAACUUCGUGCCAGCAGCCGCGGUAAUACGAAGGGGGCUAGCGUUGCUCGGAAUGACUGGGCGUAAAGGGCGUGUAGGCGGUUUACACAGUCAGAUGUGAAAUCCCCGGGCUUAACCUGGGAGCUGCAUUUGAUACGUGUAGACUAGAGUGUGAGAGAGGGUUGUGGAAUUCCCAGUGUAGAGGUGAAAUUCGUAGAUAUUGGGAAGAACACCGGUGGCGAAGGCGGCAACCUGGCUCAUGACUGACGCUGAGGCGCGAAAGCGUGGGGAGCAAACAGGAUUAGAUACCCUGGUAGUCC